rnacentral:lncRNA from 1 species
CAGGCUGGUGUCAAACUACUGGGCUCAAGUGAUCCUCUCACCUCAGCCUUCCAAAGUGCUGAAACUACAAAUGGGAGCCACCAGGCCAGGUCUUGAAUAACUUUUGUUGCUGACCUUUUGGAAAAUUGACAGACUCCACUCACACCAUCCCCAUCCAUUCUCCCACCAUCUGCCUUCCUUCCAAGCUUAAAGAGACGGAUAUCUACCUACAAGGCAAAUCCAAUCAACCAUUAUCCUCCAAUUGCCAGACCCUGCUAGUGGCACAUCCAUCAGUACAUGAACUGAAUAUGUCACAGAGUGUAUCAAAGCUAAGGUAGGUGCCUGUCCCACCAUCAGUUGAAUGAGAAGGUUUCUGAUAUCAGAAAUUGGGCUACCCUGCUUUGCCAAGACUCUCUUUUCCAAUCUCUCAAAGGCAGAUAAUAACACUAAUGGACAAUGUGGCCAUGAGCAUUAAAACAAAUCAUUAGGCUGGAGGCUUCUCAUCAGUGCUUGAGGGCAAUUUCACCACCUGGGGCUUUCCGAGAAGGCUUUUGAAGGCUCUGAAACAUGCUCAGUCUGCAGGAGUAUGCAGGCACCCACCGUGCCCCAAGAUAUGGACUGUGGAGCGUUCAUUGUCUCAACAAUUACUCACUGCAAGGUAUUUUCUUAUGGAGUUGUUUUUGUUCCCCCUAAAAUAUUAUUACAGAAAAGAAAACUGCAUUUGAUUCCUAGUGUUGUUUUAAGAGUUCAGUGCUAGCAAACUGCCAUAUUCAUUCUAUUCUCUCUUUUCAACCAAGGAUUGUGUCAGAUGGACUCCAAUAAAUGGCUUUACAGUGGUGCAUACCAUGCACACACUAAUUACAGACCAAACAUGUCUAUUUAAUGAGAAAAACAAUCCUAAUCUGGGAAGAUGGUGCCAUUGCAUGAAAAUAUCAUGGAUUCUAGUGCCAGAUUAGCCUGGGUUGGAGUUCUGUAUCUGUCCUUUACAUCAGGGGUUCCCAGCCCCUGGCUGUGGACCGGUACUGG